rnacentral:rRNA from 1 species
CCUACGGGAGGCAGCAGUGAGGAAUAUUGGUCAAUGGGCGGAAGCCUGAACCAGCCAAGUAGCGUGCGGGAUGAAGGUACAGAGUAUCGUAAACCUCUUUUGUCAGGGAACAAAGGCGGGGACGUGUCCCCGGAUGAGUGUACCUGAAGAAAAAGCAUCGGCUAACUCCGUGCCAGCAGCCGCGGUAAUACGGAGGAUGCGAGCGUUAUCCGGAUUUAUUGGGUUUAAAGGGUGCGCAGGCGGUCUGUUAAGUCAGCGGUCAAAGCCCGGGGCUCAACCCCGGCCCGCCGUUGAAACUGGCAGUCUCGAGUUGGAGAGAAGUAUGCGGAAGGCGCGGUGUAGCGGUGAAAUGCAUAGAUAUCGCGCAGAACUCCGAUUGCGAAGGCAGCAUGCCGGCUCCACACUGACGCUGAGGCACGAAAGCGUGGGUAUCGAACAGGAUUAGAUACCCGGGUAGUC